ensembl:lncRNA
CGUACUGGAUAGUCUGGUUUAACAGCUUUUGAAGAUUUCUGUCUUUUUUGUUGACAGGAUUCCAUUGUUUCCUCCUAAAAGCACCUAAGACAAUGUUUGACUUUUCUCUACUCAGCUCCCUGUGAGGAGAAAAAAGGAGAAGUCAGUUCACAGGACAGCCUGAAUUGGUGAUUCCUGAAAGGCGGAGGUCGGGGGGGCAGAGAGAACCUUAAAACCAUACUGAAUCUAUUUUGAUUAAGUGUAUAAAUCACAGCAUCAAAGAGAGACAGGAAUAACUAGUCGGCAGACCAGAGAUUCCUGGAGUUUCAGAGCGAGAAGGAAGAGGGCAGCCUAGCAGGGCAGAGCCAGACCCCAGACCAAUGACGUCAGCAUCUCUGGGCUAGUGCCCAGGAACAGUAUUUUUUUAACGGUCCCGUUGAGCCCAAUGUGCAGCCACGUUUGAGAACCACUGACCUGGGAUACAAACAGAGGGGCACAGAAGGGGAUAGAGAUGUACGCCCAGAGGAACCCACAGGGGCUCUGAACUCAUAGGCCCAGGUAGGACGGAGGGUGGGGUGAGAACGGGGCUGAAACAGGGAGAAUAGUGGGAGGUCUGUGCAUGGAAUAGUCAACCCCCAACCCUCUGUCCACCUCCAGGCAUGGACCGUCAUGGAGCUAGGCAUUUCCUUCUCAGACAUUAACAAAGGAGAGCUCUUCUAAAACCAAAACCAAAGCCAAGAAACUCUGAAUACACUGUCUGGAGAGAACUCGGGCAGCUUGUGUGGGCACAGGAGCCUCAGGAAAGCCCACCUCAUUCUGACAUUUAGGGGUUCCCCAGCAUAGAAGCCAGCUCCCUGUCCUCACCCUAAAUUGGAGCCUGAUGCCCACAGAGCUGCUUGGCUCAUUUAUAAAUGUAAGAGGAAUACCAAGGACACCAGGACCAGCCCCCUGCACCUGAGCCCCGGCUGUGAGGCUGUCCCUGAGCCAGCCCAACAUCUGCAACACCUGUGUGGUCGGCAACUAUGUGGACCAGAACACUGCCACCAACGGCACCGGGGAAGUCUAUUGAUCAAGAAAGUGCCCAGCAGGGUGAGUGUGCCCAGCUCCUGAGACACUCCUUUCCCAGGAGAUUAGGGGUGGGGUAUGUUGGUGCUCACCACCCCCAGGAAAUGUGAUAUCCAACAUCUCCAGCCCUUGGGACAAUACCAGAUGAGAUGAAUCAGAGACAGUAAAGGCUGGCAUGUGACCCAGGAAACUAUGGGGGAUGGGUGGAAUCGGGGCUUUUAGGAAGAGCAAAGAACAGCUAGGCCAGUCACUGAUGUUUCUCUCCGCUCUGCCCUAAAUCCAUCUUGAAGGGCCGUUGAGUGGACAAGGAAUCAUCUCUGUAAUUAGUGACCUCAAGACAGAAACUUGAAGAUAAAGAAAGGCAGCUUUGACUCAAUAUUAGAGGAGAGUUCUGUACUCAGAGUCAUCCAAACAUGCAACAGAGGCUUUGGGACACAGUGAGGUCCCUGUCACUGGUGGAAUGUAACCACAGGCAAACUCACCUGGUGGGUUGUUAGAAAGUCGAGGAAGGAACAGGACUCCACAGUGAGUUUGCUUCCAACAUGGACAUUCUUAGAUUCUAGGAAAUUCUCUGCAGCAAAAGCACAUAGGAUUAUUGCAAACCCCAACAACCCAGUUUCCCAGAACCACCAGGUGGAGUGGAGGGCCUGCACUGAGCCAGCCCACUGCAGGGAGUGUGGGCAGUCCCAGGACCCAUCACCCGGAAGCCGCUCACUCUGCUCCGUUUCUGACCCAACAGGGACUAGAGCUCUGUUCCCCCCAUUACUGUGGACGGUGCUGGCAAACGGCCUCUCUCCUUGGGCUCCUUGGGAAGCCCGGAGUUCAGCUCACAAGAAGGGUUUCCAGCAGAAGGGAAGAGAGAGGUGCCCGAGCAGCGAGACAACUGCACUGGGGCCUUCUGUCUUUUCUUGUGCUUUGUCAAGUUUUCUAAAUCAUAAAUGAAUGCUUUCUAUAUUCUGC